UGGCACCCACCCGUAGAACCGACCUUGCGGGGCCUUCGCCGCACACAAGCUCGUGUCUGUGGGUCCGUGUCGG
rnacentral:pre_miRNA from 10 species